GACGAACGCUGGCGGCGUGCUUAACACAUGCAAGUCGAACGGAAAGGCCCUGCUUGCAGGGUACUCGAGUGGCGAACGGGUGAGUAACACGUGGGUGAUCUGCCCUGCACUUCGGGAUAAGCUUGGGAAACUGGGUCUAAUACCGGAUAGGAACCAUCUUUAGUGUGGUGGUUGGAAAGUUUUUUCGGUGUAGGAUGAGCUCGCGGCCUAUCAGCUUGUUGGUGGGGUAAUGGCCUACCAAGGCGGCGACGGGUAGCCGGCCUGAGAGGGUGUACGGCCACAUUGGGACUGAGAUACGGCCCAGACUCCUACGGGAGGCAGCAGUGGGGAAGAUUGCACAAUGGGCGCAAGCCUGAUGCAGCGACGCCGCGUGGGGGAUGAAGGCCUUCGGGUUGUAAACUCCUUUCGCUAGGGACGAAGCUUUUUGUGACGGUACCUAGAUAAGAAGCACCGGCUAACUACGUG
rnacentral:rRNA from 1 species